rnacentral:rRNA from 1 species
AGUGAACGCUGGCGGUAGGCCUAACACAUGCAAGUCGAACGGCAGCACAGGAGGGCUUGCUCUCUGGGUGGCGAGUGGCGGACGGGUGAGGAAUACAUCGGAAUCUACCUUUUCGUGGGGGAUAACGUAGGGAAACUUACGCUAAUACCGCAUACGACCUACGGGUGAAAGUGGGGGACCGCAAGGCCUCACGCGAUUAGAUGAGCCGAUGUCCGAUUAGCUAGUUGGCGGGGUAAUGGCCCACCAAGGCGACGAUCGGUAGCUGGUCUGAGAGGAUGAUCAGCCACACUGGAACUGAGACACGGUCCAGACUCCGACGGGAGGCAGCGGUGGGGAAUAUUGGACAAUGGGCGCAAGCCUGAUCCAGCCAUACCGCGUGGGUGAAGAAGGCCUUCGGGUUGUAAAGCCCUUUUGUUGGGAAAGAAAUCCUGUCGAUUAAUACUCGGUGGGGAUGACGGUACCCAAAGAAUAAGCACCGGCUAACUUCGUGCCAGCAGCCGCGGUAAGAC